rnacentral:misc_RNA from 1 species
GCUAAACCAUAUCUUGUAUUGUUAGCGCUCUUAAUUGCCUCUUCUACAGUCUUGAACUUCAUUAGCGACAUCACAGGUCCGAAAAUUUCAUCCUUCGCUAUUAACAUGUCCUCCUUAACGUCAGUGAAAAUUGUCGGCUCGAUAAAAUAUCCCUUCUUGAAUAAAGGUUUACCCCCUGUUAAUAAUGUUGCUCCUUCUCUUUUGCCAUGCUCAAUGUAAGAAAGAAUUUUUUCA